UACGUAGGGGGCUAGCGUUGUCCGGAAUCAUUGGGCGUAAAGCGCGCGUAGGCGGCCCGGUAAGUCCGCUGUAAAAGUCCAGGGCUCAACCCUGGAAAGCCGGUGGAUACUGUCGGGCUCGAGUCCGGAAGAGGCGAGUGGAAUUCCGAGUGUAGAGGUGAAAUUCGUAGAUAUUCGGAGGAACACCAGUGGCGAAGGCGGCUCACUGGUCCAUUACUGACGCUGAGGUGCGAAAGCGUGGGGAGCAAACAGG
rnacentral:rRNA from 1 species